AUGAUUACUGGAGAAAAACAAGUCCACACUAGUCCAUUAAAAACAGAAAGCUUCUUUUAUGGGAAAAUGCAUACUAGAAAUAGGAAAAAAAAAAAAAAAAAAAGGAUUAAUGAAAUGGUGACUUUCCCCCUGCUCCACACACUGGGCAUCCAGAGGGCAAGUUCCUGGGCUUCCAGCAGACUGAACAACAAAGGCACACCUCAUAGCAGAGACCCCCAGGAUGUGACUUGCUUUUCAUGCUUGAGGAGUCAAAUAUUUUACCACAUCAGCAGUCCCACACGUUCAGGAACCAUGAAUCAGGGCUUCAGAAGCUGUAAGUCUGACUUCAACUUUCCAAAGUUUCCAAAGCAUGCCCCUGCACACUAUUUUCUUCUUAUAUGAGCACACAGAUUAUUUUCCAUAUUCAACCGACUCCAGAAACUGGAUCUGUUUGUCAGCACAUAAAAUGGAUGGCAUAAAAUGAUAUGUCUCUCUUCAGUCCCAUUAUUUGAAAAGCUUUCUCUGCUGAUAUGUAGAUCUGCAGCUACUGCACAGAGGAAAUAAUUUCUGCCUGACUAAAGAUUCAGAAAAGAUAAUCAGCUGAGAUUUUUCUUCUUCUUUUAUGUCCGGUUUACCUCACAGAUGUACUAUUUUGAAAUAACUUUACUGCAGACUGAGGACAUAUGAAUUGAUUAAAUCAAAUCAAAUCAAACAAAUCAAUUGUAAGAACACAAGUUCCAGUGCAUUCAGCUCUGACCAGGAAUAGUGAAUUUAUCCCUGGACUGCUAUGCUUUUGUACACAACCUUUCAAGGUGGUUACUCCACUCUUCAAAAGCCCAAGUUUCUUACUUGCACACAGCAAAGGGUAUCAGGCUUAAGCCUCA
rnacentral:lncRNA from 1 species